CGGAAAUUGCCCGUUUUGUGCUGAAUUUACACAUAUCCGUGCACUUCCGUUUCACAUCCAAGGUCAAGCGAAGCACCGACCACUUCAUCAUGCCUGAGUACGGAAGACAGAUGAUUUAUCCCUAUACAGGAUUUGGGAAGCUAGCUCGAUUUAACUACAGAUAUAGAUGGCACAAUGAUAGAAUUCUAAGAUUCAGAACCUACUUGUUACCAUUUGUUAUUUAUAUGGGUUGGAAAAUACAGUCUGUAUUGAGGGGUGGAGAGGACAUGAGAGAGUAUUGGAGGAACAAGAAGACAGAACGUCAUAACUGGUUUGCACCUGUAUCAGAAUGAUUGGGACUUGUACAGACAAUUUUACUUUCUUAUAGAUAAUUUAUCUGUGUUUCGUAUUUCAUACAAAGAAAUAAAUUGAGUUAUAUAAAA